CAGCAGUCGCCGCGGUAAUACAGAGGGUGCGAGCGUUAAUCGGAUUUACUGGGCGUAAAGCGUGCGUAGGCGGCUUCUUAAGUCGGAUGUGAAAUCCCUGAGCUUAACUUAGGAAUUGCAUUCGAUACUGGGAAGCUAGAGUAUGGGAGAGGAUGGUAGAAUUCCAGGUGUAGCGGUGAAAUGCGUAGAGAUCUGGAGGAAUACCGAUGGCGAAGGCAGCCAUCUGGCCUAAUACUGACGCUGAGGUACGAAAGCAUGGGGAGCAAACAGGAUUAGAUACCCCAGUAGUCCCUGUCUCUUAUAA
rnacentral:rRNA from 1 species